rnacentral:snoRNA from 1 species
AACAUCAUUAAAACUCCGCUCGUCAGCAGUUUCUUCCUCUUUUCUUUUUUCUUCUUCAAUUUCACGCCAGCCUACAAUGUGUGUAAACAUGUUAUUAUCGACAACUUCCGUCAUUCCAUGGCAAAGUUGUCUACUCGUUGAGCGGAGAAUAACUUGACCCGUUGCUGGGCACCUGGAUUUGAGAGGUCAUUCUGAUCCUUUCGGAUUCUCUGGGAAUCAGCUGUGGUCACACUC